CAAAAGAUAAUUCAGUCAGUAGAGCAUGAGACUUUUAAUCUCAAGGUCGUGAGUUCGAGCCCCACAUUGGGGGAAAGA